rnacentral:rRNA from 1 species
CGGCGAGUGAAGCGGCAACAGCUCAAAUUUGAAAUCUGGCCCCAGGCCCGAGUUGUAAUUUGCAGAGGAUGCUUUUGGCGCGGUGCCUUCCGAGUUCCCUGGAACGGGACGCCAUAGAGGGUGAGAGCCCCGUACGGUUGGACACCAAGCCUUUGUAAAGCUCCUUCGACGAGUCGAGUAGUUUGGGAAUGCUGCUCAAAAUGGGAGGUAUAUUUCUUCUAAAGCUAAAUAUUGGCCAGAGACCGAUAGCGCACAAGUAGAGUGAUCGAAAGAUGAAAAGCACUUUGAAAAGAGGGUUAAACAGCACGUGAAAUUGUUAAAAGGGAAGCGCUUAUGACCAGACUUGCGCCCGGUGAAUCACCCAGCUCUCGCGGCUGGGGCACUUUGCCGGCUCAGGCCAGCAUCAGCUCGCUGUCGGGGACAAAAGCUUCGGGAACGUAGCUCUCUUCGGGGAGUGUUAUAGCCCGUUGCAUAAUACCCUUCGGCGGGCUGAGGUACGCGCUCCGCAAGGAUGCUGGCGUAAUGGUCAUCAGCGACCCGUCUUGAAACACGGACCAAGGAGUCAACCUUAUGUGCGAGUGUUUGGGUGUUAAACCCCUACGCGUAAUGAAAGUGAACGCAGGUGAGAGCUUCGGCGCAUCAUCGACCGAUCCUGAUGUUCUCGGAUGGAUUUGAGUAAGAGCAUAUAGGGUUGGACCCGAAAGAAGGUGAACUAUGCGUGUAUAGGGUGAAGCCAGAGGAAACUCUGGUGGAGGCUCGCAGCGGUUCUGACGUGCAAAUCGAUCGUCAAAUAUGCGCAUGGGGGCGAAAG